rnacentral:lncRNA from 1 species
GUGAAUAAUACACUCGAAAGGAAAAGACACCAGAGAUACCGGUUACUGGGUAUAUAAUAGGUGACUAACCAAAAAGAGAGACAAUCGAUACCAAGCAUCCGGGUAAACGAAAGACAACUCAAAGGGAUAAAUUGCAAGCAUCCGGCAAUUAUCCAACAACAAGAAAUAUUCGACUCCACAAAGGGAAAUAACGAAUCUUACUCGACUGGGGAAACACAAAAGGCUUCGACUGAAGAGUGCAUGAGAUAUACUAUUCAUUACCGGCAGACCGUGAAUAAU